rnacentral:rRNA from 1 species
UACGUAGGGUGCAAGCGUUAAUCGGAAUUACUGGGCGUAAAGCGUGCGCAGGCGGUUUUGUAAGUCUGUUGUGAAAUCCCCGGGCUUAACCUGGGAAUGGCAAUGGAGACUGCAAGGCUAGAGUUUGGCAGAGGGGGGUAGAAUUCCACGUGUAGCAGUGAAAUGCGUAGAGAUGUGGAGGAACACCGAUGGCGAAGGCAGCCCCCUGGGUCAAGACUGACGCUCAUGCACGAAAGCAUGGGGAGCAAACAGG